rnacentral:misc_RNA from 1 species
GAUGAAGAACGUAGUGAAAUGCGAUACUUGGUGUGAAUUGCAGAAUCCCGUGAACCAUCGAGUCUUUGAACGCAAGUUGCGCCUCAAGCCAUUAGGUUGAGGGCACGUCUGCCUGGGCGUCACAUAUCGUUGCCUGAUGCCAGUUUCCUCGUGAUGGGUGACUGUGCAGGGCGAAUGAUGGCUUCCCGUGAGCAUUGUUGCCUCAUGGUUGGUUGAAAAUUGAGUCCUUGGUAGGGAGCGCCGUGAUAGAUGGUGGUUGAGUGACGAACGAGACCCAAUCAUGUGAGACCCCUACCGAAUUUGGCCUUCAUGACCCACAUGCGUCUUUGGAACGCUCAUGACGAGACCUCAGGUCAGGCGGGGCUACCCGCGGAGUUUAAGCAUAUCAAUAAGCGGAGGA